UGGGGAAUUUUGGACAAUGGGCGAAAGCCUGAUCCAGCCAUGCCGCGUGAGUGAAGAAGGCCUUCGGGUUGUAAAGCUCUUUCGGCCGGGACGAAAUUGCCUUCGUAAAUAUCGAAGGUAGAUGACGGUACCGGAAGAAGAAGCACCGGCUAACUACGUGCCAGCAGCCGCGGUAAUACGUAGGGUGCGAGCGUUAAUCGGAAUUACUGGGCGUAAAGCGUGCGCAGGCGGUUUUGUAAGCCAGAUGUGAAAUCCCCGGGCUCAACCUGGGAACUGCAUUUGGGACUGCAAGGCUGGAGUACGGCAGAGGGAGGUGGAAUUCCACGUGUAGCAGUGAAAUGCGUAGAUAUGUGGAGGAACACCGAUGGCGAAGGCAGCCUCCUGGGCUGAUACUGACGCUCAUGCACGAAAGCGUGGGGAGCAAACAG
rnacentral:rRNA from 1 species